ACGGGAGGCAGCAGUGGGGAAUAUUGCACAAUGGAGGAAACUCUGAUGCAGCGAUGCCGCGUGAGGGAAGAAGGUUCUCGGAUUGUAAACCUCUGUCUUCAGGGACGAUAAUGACGGUACCUGAGGAGGAAGCUCCGGCUAACUACGUGCCAGCAGCCGCGGUAAUACGUAGGGAGCGAGCGUUGUCCGGAAUUACUGGGUGUAAAGGGAGCGCAGGCGGGAUGGUAAGUUAGAUGUGAAAACUAUGGGCUUAACCCAUAGACUGCAUUUAAAACUGCUGUUCUUGAGUGAAGUAGAGGCAGGCGGAAUUCCUAGUGUAGCGGUGAAAUGCGUAGAUAUUAGGAGGAACACCAGUGGCGAAGGCGGCCUGCUGGGCUUUUACUGACGCUGAGGCUCGAAAGCGUGGGGAGCAAACAGGAUUAGAUACCCUGGUA
rnacentral:rRNA from 1 species